rnacentral:rRNA from 1 species
AGCGUAGGUGGCCUAACAUGUCAACUGUGAAAACCCGGAGCUCAACUCCGGACUUGCAGUUGAAACUGGUAGGCUUGAGGACGGUAGAGGAAGACGGAACUGCUAGUGUAGGGGUAAAAUCCUUAGAUAUUGGCAGGAACGCCGGUGACGAAGGUGGUUUUCUGGGCCGGUUCUGACACUGAUGCUCGAAAGCCAGGGGAGCGAACG